AAGCAUCAUCAGAAACCGACCAUACUGGCUUCCUGAUCUCAGACUUUCAGCCUCCAGAAUGGAUAUAUUUGGCAUUAAACUCGGGACAAAAGAAGACACAAACUUUAUCUUGUGGUUUGGGUCCUCCAAUCCUCAUAAAAGUGUGGUUUCACCUGUUACCUCAUAAAGGUGCCAUUGCUGUAUGCACAUCUGAAUCUGUUUACAAUUUGAGAAUAGAGGAUCAAGUUCAGAUGGCUUACGGUUGAGAUACAUGUUGCUAUGGCAGCAGGAAGAAAAUGAUGGAAAAGAAGAAAACAAAAAGCAAGAAAAAGUGAGAAAUCAAAGGACAACAUUUUCAA
rnacentral:lncRNA from 1 species